GCCGGUGUAACUCAGUGGCCAGAGUGCCUCUCUCGUAAAGAGGAAGUCGAGAGUUCGACUCUCUCCACCGGCU
rnacentral:tRNA from 1 species